GGUUGUAUAGUGUAGUGGUUAUCACGUUUGGCUCUGAUCCAAACGACCCCAGUUCGAAUCCGGGUACGACCU
rnacentral:tRNA from 1 species